rnacentral:ncRNA from 1 species
GACAAGGGGAGCUUGUAAUACAGGCUGAGAGGAAGUUGGAAACUUCGACCCAUAACCUGAUUUGGAUAAUGCCAACGUAGGGAUAUGUU